CACUCCCCCCUCAUCAAAGUAUAAAAGUCAGGUCAGAAAAGUCAGAUAGCCACACUCAUCUGAAAGACAUCUUCAUCUGAGGAUCACCGUUAGCAGAGAUUAAUUUCCCGAAGACGGACACCCUGAGCCCACCCAAAACCCAACACAUCGUUCAACAGGGUACAAUCAUGAAGGCCACCUUCUCCCUGCUCUUCCUGAUCCUGGCCAUCGCGUGCACUGUGACUGCCCAAACAUACAGAAGUUUCACUGAUCAGCAUUAUCUAUAUGGCAUGACAGUUAGAGAUUGUAAUAAUAGGAUGAAUUUUGUCAAUACAUACUACUAUGGAAACCACUGCAAACCAGUCAACACUUUCAUCA